CUCUUUCUCUUUCUCAAAAAUAAACAUUAAAAAAAAUUUUUUUAAGGUACUGUGCAACCAUUAUAUUUGUAAAUUAUUUAGCACGUUUUUGUCACCUAGAAUAGCGUGCCAUACUACUCGAGGGGGCUAUCUUGCAAGUAAUACCAAGUUCCAGUGUUUGCUUCUUAGUAUUGAACUACAUUUACAGUUCUGUCCUAGACACGUCGCACCAGUCGAAUCCAUUCGUGUGUCUUUUUGUUCACGUGCUCUGUACCACUGGUGAGUGCGCCUUGGUUUCCUUACCUGCUGCCACAGAAAGUUCUUUUACAUCCUGAUGGCUAUUGCCAAGGCUACAGGAAAGAAAAGCUUUAUUUGUAUGCAACCCUAACCCUUUGAUGGCUAACCUAGGUUCCUGCUUGCUGCGCCUUGUUCCAUCUGUGUUCUUAUGCUAAUGAAGUAUGUUUGGUGUUCUCCUUGUAAAACAACAACAACAAACGAGUCACAUGUUGUCACUUCUGCCACAUCCUGUUCAUCAGAAACCAGUCACUAAGUCCAGCACUUUUGAAGGAAGGAGUGCAAAGGAUUUGUGAACAUAUUUUAAAACCAUCAGUUCUGCCCUGACGCACGAUCUGUGUGGACUUAUGCGAAGGUAUCCUUAGAACAGAUUUCUAGAACUCAACGACUGGAUCAAGUGAUACAUGCACUUUGAAUCUUGACAAUUCCUGUUUGUGGCAGAAACCGUUCAUCGUCCUCCAAUAGCCAUCGUCUCUCUUUCUCCAUUUAGCACUGGACCUCCUGACUUUUAGCUGGCACAGCUCGAGAAUGUACCUCCCAACCUCCAUUGCUGCUACGUGGAGAUGUGCGACGAAGUCCUGUCCAGUGAGAGGAAUGGGUUGCUCAAAAAGCAAAUGACUCGUGGGUCACGUGAGUGGGGAAGGCCGAGGUGGAGUGACAGCACCCUUCUAGUUCGCCCACCAGCCUCCCGCCGGAGCAGACAGGGAAUCCGUCGUGCCCGAGACUAUGCCCAUCUCAGAGUGCACGCUGUGUUCUUGCGGCCCAUGACGAUGAGGAAACCGAGAACAGAGACCUUGACCCUUCUGUCCACUGUUGAACUCCAGCACCCAGAAUGAGGAAGAAUGAGGAAGAGGAGGAGGAGGAGUCACAGGUGCGAGGGGCCAGGAGCCCCGCCUCCUCCUGUCACCGACUGCACCCGAGACAACGGCACCUCUCCCACUAGGAUGUCUCUAUUACACCUGACCUCUGCCCGUGGGAGAAAAGCCAGUGUGGGAGCAGGCUGCACGCACACAACUGGGAUGGUUCGAGUAUGGCCCCAAAUGUCCGCGGGCACGAUCAGGGAGCCUGUUUGGGGCCAUUUGCCGCAUGGCUACGGUUGGGAGGCUGGAAGUUUCCUUGAGAGUCAAGUCUCCUUCCAGCCAUCUCUGCCAUUCAGCUUGAGUAUUUCUCCCCCUGGGAAGGAUUUCCCCAUAAAAUAAAUGUCUCGUCUGAAUUAAUCUUAUUUUUCAAAGGAGGGAGUCGUCAUAUUGUAAAGACAGAUCAUAAAAAGAUGCAUCAAUCUGUCAGGAAGGCUGGUUACUAUGAGUAUUUGUUUAGCAGAAACAGUGUGCCCCAUCCCCACCCCAGACAUCUGGCCCGAGAGGCUGGGCUAUUGCUGGGUCCAGCCCCAUGCGGGCAACUUCUCCUGAGUGCCCCAGGCCUCUGCAGUCUUUGCGGACCAGCCCCAGUCCCGGAAGGGGCCUGGCUAGGGUGCCCAGGUUGGCAUAUUGUGGCAGCCUAACUUUUCAGAAGAGGCCUGGAGCGCCCCCCACUGGAGGGGCCAGUCCCACUGCCCAGACAUGUCCCAGACACUUUCAUUCGGGAGCUAAUGGUCUUUGGGAUCUUAACGAUACUCCAGACAAUCUCUCCAUUUUGUUUACACUUGG